UACGUAGGGCCCGAGCGUUAUCCGGUAUUAUUGGGCGUAAAGAGUACGUAGGCGGUUACGCAAGACAAUGGUUAAAGCUCCGGGCUCAACUCGGAAAUCGCCGUUGUAACUGCAUAACUUGUCGGUAGCAGGGGCAAGCGGAAUUCUCGGUGUAGGAGUGAAAUCCGUUGAGAUCGAGAAGAACACCAAUGGCGAAGGCAGCUUGCUAGGUUACUUGAGACGCUGAGGUACGAAAGCGUGGGGAGCGAACGGG
rnacentral:rRNA from 1 species